GAUGAACGCUGGCGGCGUGCCUAAUACAUGCAAGUCGAGCGAACAGACGAUGAGCUUGCUCCUCUGACGUUAGCGGCGCACGUGUGAGUAACACGUGUAUACCCUACCUAUAUGACUGGUAUCACUUCGGGAAACCGGAGCUUAUCCCGGAUAAUAUCUUGAACCGCAGUGGUCAAUAGUAAAAUACGGUUUUUCUGUCUCUUAUAGAUGGAUCCGGGCCGUAUUAGAUAGUUGUUAAGUUAACGGCCUACCAAGGCGACGAGGCGUAGCCGACGUGAGAGAGUGAUCGGCGACACGAGAGCUGAGACAGGGUCAAGACUCCUACGGGAGGCAGCAGUCGGGAAUGUUAGGCAACGGGCGAAAGUCUGACGGAGCAACGGCGAGUGAGUUGUGACGGCGUUGGGAUCGUAAAACCCUGUUACUAGUGAAGAACAAAUGUGUAAGUAACUAUGGACGUAGUGACGGUAACUGAUAAGAAAGCCACGGCUAACUACGUG
rnacentral:rRNA from 1 species